rnacentral:rRNA from 1 species
UACGUAGGGGGCGAGCGUUGUCCGGAUUUAUUGGGCGUAAAGAGCGUGUAGGCGGCCAGGUAGGUCUGCUGUGAAACUCGAGGCUCAACCUCGAGACGUCGGCGGAAACCAUCUGGCUAGAGUCCGGAAGAGGAGAGUGGAAUUCCUGGUGUAGCGGUGAAAUGCGCAGAUAUCAGGAAGAACACCCGUGGCGAAGGCGGCUCUCUGGGACGGUACUGACGCUGAGACGCGAAAGCGUGGGGGAGCGAAACAGG